rnacentral:rRNA from 1 species
AUGCAAGUCGAACGAUGAACCCCGCUUGCGGGGGGAUUAGUGGCGAACGGGUGAGUAACACGUGAGUAACCUGCCCUUAACUCUGGGAUAAGCCUUGGAAACGGGGUCUAAUACUGGAUAUUGACUUUUCCUCGCAUGGGGAUUGGUUGAAAGAUUUAUUGGUUUUGGAUGGACUCGCGGCCUAUCAGCUUGUUGGUGAGGUAAUGGCUCACCAAGGCGACGACGGGUAGCCGGCCUGAGAGGGUGACCGGCCACACUGGGACUGAGACACGGCCCAGACUCCUACGGGAGGCAGCAGUGGGGAAUAUUGCACAAUGGGCGAAAGCCUGAUGCAGCGACGCCGCGUGAGGGAUGACGGCCUUCGGGUUGUAAACCUCUUUCAGUAGGGAACAAGGCCAGUGUUUAGCUGGUUGAGGGUACUUGCAGAAGAAGCGCCGGCUAACUACGUGCCAGCAGCCGCGGUAAUACGUAGGGCGCAAGCGUUAUCCGGAAUUAUUGGGCGUAAAGAGCUCGUAGGCGGUUUGUCGCGUCUGCCGUGAAAGUCCGGGGCUCAACCCCGGAUCUGCGGUGGGUACGGGCAGACUAGAGUGAUGUAGGGGAGACUGGAAUUCCUGGUGUAGCGGUGAAAUGCGCAGAUAUCAGGAGGAACACCGAUGGCGAAGGCAGGUCUCUGGGCAUUAACUGACGCUGAGGAGCGAAAGCAUGGAGAGCGAACAGGAUUAGAUACCCUGGUAGUCCAUGCCGUAGACGUUGGGCACUAGGUGUGGGGGACAUUCCACGUUUUCCGCGCCGUAGCUAACGCAUUAAGUGCCCCGCCUGGGGAGUACGGCCGCAAGGCUAAAACUCAGAGGAAUUGACGGGGGCCCGCACAAGCGGCGGAGCAUGCGGAUUAAUUCGAUGCAACGCGAAG